CUUCAAAUCACUAUCUAAUUUCACUAGGAAUUAAAAAUAUGUAACCCCAGUAGAUACAGUAAUAAAUUGAUACAGAGUAUUUUGAAAUACAUACCUGCUUCAUACAGCAAUUUGCUUCCUAGAAGAGAAGUAUUCCUAACGGUUUGUUACAGUGCUGAGUUUUAGUGUCAAAUACAAGAUUUGUGUUUUUACUGUGAACACAAACUUUAAGAGAAUUCAUAUGAAGUCUACUUCUUCAGUAAUUGUUCUUGAUAAACCAGGUCUUAAGCUUCAAGAGGCAAACAGGAAAGGGGGGUAGUCAAAUUUUCAGGCAGAUAACUCAAACUAAAUCUUUAAAAGGAAGAACAUAACCAGUACUUGUUCCUUUUCUUGGUGAUGACUUCAAUUAAGUCUUGCACUUCUGUGAUGUGGUGACAUGCCUUCCAGUGCUUAGAAAUAUUAGCCUGCUGUUUACUGGGAAGCAUAUUCCUCCGAGACAUAAGUUCAAGGCCCGAUUUAAAGACUCUAGUGCCUUUAUUGUGCUGUCUCUACAGCACAGGUGUUUGUGAUGGAAAUAUUUCUGUCCUGGAAGUUCCUCCUUUUUUCAGGCAAUCUAUUAGAUAAAUGGGAAUGCUUUCGAAAUAAAUACAAAAUCCCUUGCUUAAGCCUUCUGAAUGUGGAAUAGUGUGAAACAGUGCAUUGCUCCUGUAUGCACUUUUUUCAUAUGCUACUUCAAAUCUGCUGUCUUUUUACCCUGCAGUGCCAGAGGAGAGCUCUGGAGGAAGCCAUUUCUCUCCCGUGUUUUAACUUCUGCUAUACUUGGUCCAGUCCUUAUGCAGCAAACAGUUUCUUGUGGUGGACUAUCUUCUGGUCCUGCUUGGAGGAAGGGGGAAAAAGUUGAUCUUAGUGGAAUGUGUGGAAUAAGGGACUUCAAAGGGCUGCCUGAAUUUGUUAAAUCUAGUGUCUUAAAAUCAGAGCAUCUAGAAAAGCCUACUUCAUAGGAUAAUCUGAAUGUGUUUCACUUUGUAAGUCCUUCCCAGUGCAUUCCAUGAAAAUGUUUCCAGUGCCUUUGCGUUUUUGUCUCUGGGCUCUGGUGAUCCUAGGACAUGAACUAGCACCUAAAGCACUACCAGAGAUGCAACUCCUCAAUCCAUUUUAUGUAAGUGAAGCUUCCAUCCCUAAAUAUAGUUCUUGCUGGGAUAAAAAAGGCUAUAUAUUUUAAUUAGAUAAGGUCAAUGUACCUUAUUUGAGAUAGUAAGAUUUUUUUCAAGCAUUUUCUUAAUGAAAAUUUUCCUUAAGGGUCAAUGACAGCCAUGUAAACUAAUGUUAGACUGUGUGGGGGGGGCUAUUUGUUAAAGGAAAAGCAUGUUUUCAGAGAGUGGUUUUUGGACUUCCAGACAGAUUACACAAGCUCAAAAAGGCCCACCCCACAUCCUGUGUAGAAAACCAGCUCACAGAAAUGCCCAUUGUUCUUCAGGAUUAUAAGUCACUGUAUUUUCUGCCUGCCUUCUUUUUCAAAGUACUAUAUGGAAAAUAGUAAUGCGAAAGAACCACAGCAGCUUAACGAGUGCUUGGUCCUGCCAGGUACUGACCACUCUGCUCUUACUGAAAUGGGGUGGGGGGGGGGGUGUUAAAACAUUAGGCUCCCUGGCUAAAGAACAAAGGUUUUGUGUUGGUAAAAGUAGUUGGGAGUGUUUUAUUAGUUAUGUGAAUCAAUUGAUAAUUGACAUACUUUAAGCCUGAAAGUUGUUUGUAUGCAGCCAUGCCAGUAUUUACUGUCUUUAAGGGGGAAAAAAUGUUACAGGGUAUGUGGUUUGCUUCAGGCAUGGUGAAUUUUCCUUGACAUUGCUUCACCCCUGCUCAGUCCUUACUGCAAAAAGAGAGAAUGGGGUAUCUGGGUCUAAUACCCUACCAAAGAGACAGGAUGGUUAGCGUUUCUGAAUCUCUACCCAUGCUUAUUGCUGACUUGUGUGGUAUUCCAUCUGCAAGUAAAUGGACCUAUCCAUGAAGAAGGGAGCUAUCAAGCCAAAAAAUAGUAAAACUUGUUCACACUUCCUUUCCUUUUUUUUAAUGUUUCACCUACGUUAUCAUCUUGGAGCUUAUUUUUUAAAAAGCUGAGGUGCUAUUUUUCAUGUUCCAGUUUCAAACAGGAAAAGUGUUUCAAUGUGAAUUUUAAAACCCUCGUAUUACAGUUUUCUUACUGCAAAAAAGCAACAACUUACAUUUCUUGCUGGAGUUCAGUACCUGUCUAAGACCAAAACAUUUGUUAUGAUAAUACAGAUGUAGCGAAGCAGAAGGCUGCCAUGAGAGUGUUUGAGGCUGUAUCCUGCUUUUCUGCAGUCCUCUGAAAGGAAUCGCCUCCCUUUAGUCUCUGCCAGUCUCCUGACUCUGCAGCAUUCCCAAAACAUGUGGCCCAUAAAAUGGGAUUAUAGGGAAGGCAGUCAAGUAAACAAAAGUUCCCUCAGGAUGAGAUUUGCUUUUCCAUGCAGAGCUCCUGUGUGCUUUAGCCUGGCACUGCAGCCUUGUUCCCUAGCCAGGGACAACGACUUCUCUUGGUGACCCCAAGGGUGUGAGAGCACCUAGGCCAUCCCCAUGUUUUGGGGAUAGUCUCCUCCUGGGCUGGCUAGCACAAUAGAGUCCCCUUUGCAGUGCCUUUGGAAGGACACACCCAAUUAAAAGUUAAGGGAAAAUAAUCUUUUCUGUGUCUCUUCAAUGUCUGUAUGUAGCAAUAAAUGAACAGUCCCAUGAUGUGGCUAUAGCUGCCAAAAAUCUGCAGUGAAUGUACAGUUGUAUCCUUCAUUAACUGUACAGUAUUGCUGAAGCGUCCCAGUGCUUUCGUGAGUUGCGUUCACGGGUAAGUAGCUGCUUAAAGCUGAAAGCCUUCAUGCUUCUACAAGUGCACAGUUAUAUUGGUGGAUAAUAGUGUGUUUCUGUGAUUGUGUGGUCCCGUCCAGCCCCUUCCGUUGAAAGUACGCAACCUGGGACGGGCUCAGUCUGCAGCUUGACUACUUUCGAGUUCUUCGUUGAGACUAAAUUACAUUAUCGAUGAGUGUUUUUGGACUUGCUCCCUGUGUCCAGUCCUGGCCUCAGUAAUUCGGGUUGUCAUUGCUGCUCUGCAGGAUUACGCUGCGUGGGAUAUCAGGGCACAAAGCCUUCAGACUCGUGUUCCUUUCACUGUGUCUCUUUUUCAUAUUUUUUGAAAAAACUACUCAGAUGGCUUUUGUCCUACCUUUCCAGUGGAUGCUAGUCACCAGGGGAAUGGUUCAGUCAGUAGUGGUCCCCUUAUGCUGGUAGUGAGGCUUCAUGGUAGUGAGGCUUCAGAUGCUGAUGGCCUUGACUCACAUUCCUAGAGGUAAUGCUGUGGCAUGGAGGCUUUUGUACCCAGGGAAAGCUACAGUUGUAAAUAUUCUCCUUAAAACAACAGGAAUUCAUAAAUUCAUGUGACUGUGUUCCAGAAUGACUGGUGUUGGUCACAUCAUUGAUGUGUUACUGGGCAUUAGGGAGGAGUGUGAUAGAGAUCCGUAUGGGCUGGAAGACUCCCCAGUGCCUUUGAGAUAGCACAGCCUUACACUUACUGCCAUUACCUUUCUUUAGAGGUGACUCUGAACAGAAACUGUUAAACUUGUCGUAAUUGGUCUUGGUGUGAAGCUUUGAACAAAUAGCAGCACAGAGAAUUUUCAGUUAUCUGAAGAAACGUAGGCCAAAACUCUCCUUUUUUCUUUCUGCACCUGGUACAAAGAAGUAGAGGGAUCAGCCCCAGGAACAGGGGAGCCAACCCAGUUCCUGCUGCUAUCAAAAGCAGUGAAUUCAUUCAUUUGUGUACCCCCUAUCCUAGCCAAAGCAAAGAAUUGUUUGCUGUGGGUUCUAAAUCAGCAGUCGCUAUUCUCUUUCUCUUGUUGGUUGGUUUCUUUCCAAAGCAUUUACAAUGGGGAGUGCAUUUACAAAAUUAAGGGAGGUAAAUUCAGGGCCUGUAGCUCCUACUACAAGUGACUGCACUCAGGAGUAAUGUCAUUGUCACAGCUGUAUGCAGCUUUCAUUUCUAGAGGGUCUGAUUCUCUGCCCUGGUCUAUAGGGGGGUAUAAAUGAGAGAAAGCAGGAUGCUUUAAUUUCAUGGCAGUCUGCUGAUAAGGCCGGUGGUUAUAUUCUAAGACUGCUUAAUCCUAUUUAAGAUUGGGAUUUUUUUGGAAGGUCUCUGAUUUCUGGGUGUAUUUUGUACAGAAGCCCAUUUAAAAGCUGGGCUGAAUUAAUCUGUCAUAUUUGCUACAUAAAACAGUGAUAUUUUCAUCAUGUCUCAACUGUAUGAGAGUUAAAAACAGGAUUAUUAAAUUUUCCAAAGUUUAAGGAGAUUAAUUAUAUUUUUAAUACCUCCAGGUUUAUAGGAUCUGAUGCUGAAUCAUGAGGGGAAGUAACAACACAUUUAAUUACUGUAUUUUCCAAACAUUAGGUAGAUUAUAUAGAUAUAACAGCAGGGAACUGAAAAUGUCUUGUGAAUAACAGCAACACCUGCUUGUAUUUCAUUUAAUAAUUUGUGGGGGGUCAUUUAUGUUGUAGAAAAUGGCAGUUUAUGAACAAGGUUUUGAGGGGAAUGAUAUGUUGCUAAGGCUGCAAUAUUUUGUAUUAUGCUGUACAGAUUCUGUAUCAUAAAUCAAAGCAGCAGAGCCAUAGGUCCAUGACCUCAGCUCCAAAAAUCCUGCAAUUAGGAAUGAUUUAAAUUAACAUGAUUUGUAUGGGAAACAGCUUUUAGAAACCUUGGAAAACUGGAGGUGUGCUCAAUGAAGGACUUCUCAGAUGCUGCAAAGAGCUGAAGCAUCAGCUCUGGCUGCCAUGAGCUGCCCCAUCAUCAGUGCUGCAGUAUUAAAACUGAAACCUGCAAAUCAGGGCAGACUAAAUUAAAUCAAUGUAAUUGCUCAGUAAUGUGGAGUUGUAAACUCCAGAGGUCCAUACAGGGGUCUUUACCAAUUCACUUCAACCCAUUCAGUAAUGUAGUGCCUCAUUCAGCAAUUCAACCAAGCAGGUCGCGUAUCCCAGUCUGUGUGAGUUUUCUUCCCUCCCCAGUCCACCUGUGUACCUGCACUGGCAGGCAGGUGAACUUGCAGUGAGCUGGGUCAGGAGAAAAAAACCUUGCUUUUCUCGCAGUGGUUGAUUGAUGCCUAUGUAGCUCUGUGAAUGGCUUGUUGUGGGGUCAAAUGAGUGCCAGUGCAAGGGAAGCAGGAGGGAGAACCUCCUGUUUGGCAGCAGUCAGCGAUCAGAUUGGCAUUAUUGUUUCAUGAAGUCAUAUCUGUAAGUUAUAUGCUCAUCUAUAACUUUCUGGAAAGCUGUGGUUGUUGAAGGCAUCACUUCCCCACAGCCGAGUGCCACCCCUUUCCUGGGCGCUGCUGCUCUGUUUGUCAGCUGCUUGAUGCAAAGGCAGGUAGGGGACACAAACUUGGCUGACUAUGAGCUUCUAGGAUCUUUCUAGAAAUUUCUAGGAUUGAUGCAGAGAAGUCUUACAGAUAAAGUAUGGUUCAGAUGACUCUGUAUGUUUACAUUAAUACGAGAUGAAAUAGGUGACUCUUGGGUGACUAUAAAGAAGUCUAGGCUCAGACUUGGGCAGCUGCGAUUAGGCAGGUGAGCCAUGCUGAAGGAGACUAAAGACCUCAGUGCAAUUUUCUGGAAAAUAAAGGAAUCCACAUAGUAAAAAGACAAAUGCAAGAGUGGCUAACUAAGAUCAUAGGUAAUGAACUAGUAUAACUCAAAAAAAAAAAAAAAAAAAGGGGGGGGGGGUUACAAAUCCCAGCCAGUUUAUCUAGAUCAUCAGAUGAGUGUCAAAGUACUGAAGUCAAUUUGUAGACUGAGGUAAGACAUUGGAAGGUCAUCAUCGCCUGGGGGGGGGGGGGGGGGGGGGGAUCUUCAUUUUUCCUUGUAAAGUUUAAAGGCCCUGAGCAGUGUCUGUCUGAGGACCUGUUUUUUACUACCUACUGUUAGAAGUGACACUAGAGAUUACUAAAACUGGAAGAAGUUAUAUGAACCAAACUUCUUUUCUCAUUUUCUAUUUAGUGCUGUCGUUAGUGUUCUUGGCAGCACUUCAUAGAUACUCACUUUCAGUGGUUUCUACGCUUGGUUGCACUUCCUGUCCCAUAUAUUAGCAUAAUGAUGUCAUUCUUGCACACCACUGUGGGGGAGCGUGAUGGUGUGCUCUGCCCAAACCUCUGCAAGAAAGGCUUUCUCACUCUUGUAUAAGAAGACUUUGCUUCUGCUCUGAUGGCUGAAAUCCAAACGGAGGGUCCGUUUUUUGAGCCUCCCCUGUAUGGAAGUGAGGAGCAGAGCGGAACAGGCAGGGGGAUAAGUACCUUCCUCACGCCAUCUUCUGUAGGAAGCUACUUACAGGACUGUCUGCACCUAGUGUGGGUGAGCAACUGGAGCCUCAUAACUCUAUCGGUGCCCCCAUAGCCCCGUACGGAGCUGUAGAAGGGAAGGAAAGGGUAGGGAAGCCACUUACCACUAAAGCAAACAGAGCAAUGAAAAGUGGGAGCAGGAGCUUCAAACAUGUCCCUGCUCCUCUGGCCAGGCAGGGCUGGUCAUGGGAGUAAGGUACUGCGGAAGUCCCAUCUGCCCAGUGCUCCUUUCAUGGCCCAGGAGAGCAGCAGGGUUUUUUUUCUCUGGUUCUCCUGCGUGUCCCAAGAAGGCAGCAAGGACAGAGCAUUUUUUCCUUGGGGAUGUUGCUGCAGGAGAGGGAGGAGCAUGGCUGCCAGGAGGGAGCAGGCAGCCCCAGCACCUGUGGGGAGCAGCCUGGGCCUGCUGCUCUUUCUGCCUUGUCAGGUUGCUCUGUGUGCACCAGGCCAGGCUCUGCUGUGCAAGCAGCAAUUAUGCAGAAAGCUUUAAAGUGAUAGAAAUCAGCGUGUUAAAACGAACUUUGAAAAAACUUCUGGAAGACUUUGUCCCCUUAAAUCUGCCUGAAAGGGGCUCUUCUAGCAUGAGUCAUCCGCAGCUGUAGAGGAGCCCUGGGCAGAGCCUUCCUCCCCUCUGCUGAAUGGAGCUGUCAGAGUGCCCGGAGCCAGGGCAGGGAGAAAAAUACCCCGAUUCAUUUCCUAACGAGAUAUGCAUGGGAGAAUUCCCCAUGGGGCCACCGGUGGGGGUUUGCGGCUUUGUGUUUUUUCAAUCACUCGGCUCCACAUAAGCAAUACUGUGCAGCUUGGAGCUCCCACCCGGAGGACUGAAACACCCCAAGCCCGUCCCCAGGAAGCAGACAAUAGUGUUGAUAUGCCUGUUGCUCCAGAGGAAGUGGCUUCUGUUAUAAGCAACAAGCAAUCUGCCAAAGUCCAUGGUUGGAGUGGUUGCCAGGCUAAAUUUUACAUAAAAUUAUUUAACGUCUUUGGCUUUUGUCUUACUGUUUUCUAGAGAUGUUUCUCCUGCUUCCUACCAUUUAAAUCUCACAUAUGGCAGUGGUUCCCCCCCCCCCCCCCAAAAAAAAAAAUUAAUACAGGCUUUUAUUUAGAAAGCACAGAAAUGUUAACAGAUAAUCCAGUCUAUUUAAUAGAUGAUGAAAAUAUUCUCAAAUGCUCUCAGUAGGUUAGCAAAACUGGGGCUAAACCAUGUGCAGCUAAGGUGUUGCUCAGGGCUUCAUCGUGCCUUUUCCCAUCCCACCUCGCUGUAAUCAGUUUUUGAUCUGAAUUUGACAUUGGAAGUAUGACAUAUUACUGCAGAAAAGAUGGUAUGUGAAAGUUAGACUUCAGAUAUUGGAGGCAUCAGGCGCCCUCUUGUGCUGUUUCUCUGGCAACAUCGCAAGGCGAGCAACUUCCUAGGAGCAGAGGCUGAGCGGAGCUUCAGCCUCUGUAGUUUGUGGGGAGAUGGGUGUGUGCUUGGGCACCUACAUCGUGAUCCAGUGUGGGACUGGUGUGUAGGAGUUACUUAUUGAUGGGUCCACAAACUUCACUCCAGCUAUAUAAUGUAACCAUUCAAAAUGAAGCUUUGAACAGAAAAAAGUGACUUGCAUCUUCCAAGAGACAAAAAUAAGAUUUUUAGGUUCAUUCAAAAGUAGCAAUGUUCACUAAGUAUUAAAAUUCUCUUAUGGGCCAGAUUUUAAGUUGAAUUUCAAACUUCACUGACUGUUAAUAAUAUGAUGCAAGUUCAGAUUUUGGGGGUUUAGACUAUGCUGUAUGUUUAUAAUCAUUCACCUCCUUGCAUUGCAUAAUAUCAGGAAAAUGUGCUGCAUCUCCCUGGAAGUCAAACUCUAGGAUUAGUUUUAUUAACUCUAGUUAAUAAAUACUUUUUCAGAUUGCUCACUGCAAAUACCUCACUUCUCCAGAUACCAGACUAUAAGUAAAAGUGCAAAGUCCAGAGUAAAAGAAGUAAAUUAAUUUACAAAGUUAACUAAAUAGCUAUGAUGCCUCUGAAAACACAGGCCCUCGGUGGCUUGCUGCCUAAAGAAAUAAAUUUCACUGUUUUUUUUUUUAUAUGUGGAACUCAGUUGUUCAAAGGACACAGAUAUAUUAUUUUCUGGCCAGUUGCAAAGUCCCAAACUUACUGAUACCUUUAAGAUGCAGACAUGACAGAGCAUAACAUGUGCAGUGAGCUCUUCCCCAUGCCAGCAUUUUUCUGUCUUCUCGCUCUUUGGGGAUUAAAGGUGUUGCUUAUUUCAGGCUUAUUGACCCAGAGCAGUUUUGGACUGGGCUACCUGCCAUUCUGUGAUGGCAUUUCUAGCAAAAUAGCAGUUUCUACCAAUGUACCUCUCGGCCUGAAAGCUCCUGAGGAUUAUGAUUGUUUCAUAGAGCAGUAACUAGAGUAUAAAAGAAGAAUAGUCAUGCUGGGCCUGGCUGAGAUCCAGCUAGCCGAUACCGAUCCUGUCUCCAGUAGACACCAUGAGUGGAUGCCUUGAUAAAAGCCUUAAGAACAGAGCAGGUAUGCUGAACCAGACAGCACCAUCACAGAUCUCUGGGGAACUGCACUGAUGAACUUUGUCCACUGUGAGCACUGACCAUCUUGUCUUCUGUUUCCCAUCUUUUAACCAUCAUUUACCCCUGGAUGGAUCUUCCCUCUUAAGCCACGGCUGCUUGGUUUUCUUAACAGCCUUUUUGAGGAACAUGGUUGAAAGCUUUCUUGAAACUCAAAUGCACUUAUACCAACCAAACCAUCCUCAUCCUUAUGGCUGCUGAGCGCUUCCAAGAAGUCUGAUAGUGCUUGAUGCAGAUUUCCAUUAAAAAAAAACAAAACAAAACACCUGGGUUCUUCCAAAGUAUAUCACGUUUAUCUGUUUAAUAGUUCUAUUCCUUAUUAUAGUUUCUACUCCUUGCUCAGAGGUGAAGCUUUGUACAGAAAUAUGCCUCUGCUGAUAAUGGUAUGACUUUGGCAAUGUGACUGUGUUUUGUAGUACUUUUCUACGUUCUUUGUAGAAUGUCACAAAAAAUAUCA